rnacentral:lncRNA from 1 species
AUGUCGAUGGCCAUCCGCAGCGAGAGCUGGCAGAAGGGGAUGCAGUCCUGGUCUGGGCAGCCGGCGAUGUUAGCCACCAGCGCAUCCACGUAAGACUGCAUCACCGGGAUGAGCCUGGCAAGCCGUGCCGGUUGGUAGAGCGGGAUCACCGUGUUCCUCAUCGCCGACCAUGUCGAGUCCCUGACAUUAUAUGAGCACAGUAUGUUAAGCUCACUGCCUCGCUCAAAUUCAUGCAAGUGUUAGAGAUUUUUUUUCCAUGCCUUCUCUGAACAUUCCAGCCUACCUCCAUCUAGCUAAUGUUUCAACUUUCAAACUACUUGUCAGUUCAUUCGGUUAUCAUCAAUCACUAGCACCUGGUGAGGAAGAGGGCGUCCUGGUGCAGGGAGCCGAUGGUCGGCGGCGGGGUGCUCCUGUUGCG